rnacentral:rRNA from 1 species
AAUGAACGCUGGCGGCAGGCCUAAAACAUGCAAGUCGAACGCUGUAGCAAUACAGAGUGGCGCACGGGUGAGUAACAUGUGGGAAUAUGCCUUUUGGUACGGAACAACUUUUGGAAACGAAAGCUAAUACCGUAUGGUCCCUUCGGGGUAAAGAUUUAUCGCCAAAAGAUUAGCCCGCAUUAGAUUAGCUAGUUGGUGUG